CCCUUAGAUGUCCUGGGCCGCACGCGCGUUACACUGAUGCAUUCAACGAGCUUAUAACCUUGGCCGAGAGGCCUGGGCAAUCUUGUUAACGUGCAUCGUGAUAGGGAUAGAUUAUUGAAAUUAUUAAUCUUGAACGAGGACUUCCUAGUAAACGCAGAUCAUCAAUCUGCAUUGAUUACGUCCCUGCCCUUUGUACACACCGCCCGUCGCACCUACCGAUUGGAUGGUCCGGUGAAGCCUCGGGAUUGUGGUUCUUGCCGCUUUAUUGUGGCGUGACCGCGAGAACUUGUCUAAACCUUAUCAUCUAGAGGAAGGUGAAGUCGUAACA
rnacentral:rRNA from 1 species